rnacentral:rRNA from 1 species
GCUUGCGGCUGAAUUAACAUGCAUGUCGCACGGCAGCACGGGUGCUUGCACCUGGUGGCGAGUGGCGAACGGGUGAGUAAUACAUCGGAACAUGUCCUGUAGUGGGGGAUAGCCCGGCGAAAGCCGGAUUAAUACCGCAUACGAUCUACGGAUGAAAGCGGGGGACCUUCGGGCCUCGCGCUAUAGGGUUGGCCGAUGGCUGAUUAGCUAGUUGGUGGGGUAAAGGCCUACCAAGGCGACGAUCAGUAGCUGGUCUGAGAGGACGACCAGCCACACUGGGACUGAGACACGGCCCAGACUCCUACGGGAGGCAGCAGUGGGGAAUUUUGGACAAUGGGCGAAAGCCUGAUCCAGCAAUGCCGCGUGUGUGAAGAAGGCCUUCGGGUUGUAAAGCACUUUUGUCCGGAAAGAAAUCCUUGGCUCUAAUACAGUCGGGGGAUGACGGUACCGGAAGAAUAAGCACCGGCUAACUACGUGCCAGCAGCGGGCGGUAAUA